GACGAACGCUGGCGGCGUGCCUAAUACAUGCAAGUUGAGCGCUGAAGGUUGGUACUUGUACCAACUGGAUGAGCAGCGAACGGGUGAGUAACGCGUGGGGAAUCUGCCUUUGAGCGGGGGACAACAUUUGGAAACGAAUGCUAAUACCGCAUAAAAACUUUAAACACAAGUUUUAAGUUUGAAAGAUGCAAUUGCAUCGCUCAAAGAUGAUCCCGCGUUGUAUUAGCUAGUUGGUGAGGUAAAGGCUCACCAAGGCGAUGAUACAUAGCCGACCUGAGAGGGUGAUCGGCCACAUUGGGACUGGGACACGGCCCAAACUCCUACGGGAGGCAGCAGUAGGGAAUCUUCGGCAAUGGACGAAAGUCUGACCGAGCAACGCCGCGUGAGUGAAGAAGGUUUUCGGAUCGUAAAACUCUGUUGGUAGAGAAGAACGUUGGUGAGAGUGGAAAGCUCAUCAAGUGACGGUAACUACCCAGAAAGGGACGGCUAACUACGUG
rnacentral:rRNA from 1 species